UACGAAGGGGGCUAGCGUUGUUCGGAAUUACUGGGCGUAAAGGGCGCGUAGGCGGUACUUCAAGUCAGGCGUGAAAGCCCCGGGCUCAACCUGGGAACCGCGCUUGAGACUGGAGAACUAGAGUUCGGGAGAGGAUGGUGGAAUUCCCAGUGUAGAGGUGAAAUUCGUAGAUAUUAGGAAGAACACCGGUGGCGAAGGCGGCCCACUGGAUCGGUACUGACGCUGAGGUGCGAAAGCGUGGGGAGCAAACAGG
rnacentral:rRNA from 1 species